CUUCCUACCUGUGCGACCUUACCCCAGUCACGCUUCUCAGCCAUAAGAGGACGGGGCUGGUGACCUGGUCUCUGAGGUUUCUCCUAACUCGAAGUCUACGAUGCUGUGAGUCUGCUCCCCUCAUAGCAGGGUUAUCUCAUCAAACUCCACGCAAUCAGUCAAUAAAUGUUUAUUUAGCCUUAUCAUCCGCCCUGCGAAGGAGACAAAGAAACAGAAGACUCGGUCCCUGACCUCUAGUUGGAGAAAGAAGGCAGACCCCCGAGAAAAGAUAACUGCAGCAUCCAGAGUGUCCUAUCACCAAGUCAUCAUAACCAUCUCUUGGAGGAGCAGCCCAGCCUCCCUGGAGGACUGCUCCUCUGCUAAUUAAUCACCUUCCCAGGAAAUCCUCUUGUCUAGCUUAGAUCAGUCAUGCUGGAGUUCAAGGCAACUCUUCUGGCUUCUCCCUAGACCUAGGGUCAACAGCUCGUGGCUUGAGAACCACACGAGCUCUUUGAGAAUACACAUAGUGCUUUCAUCAAACAAAUGAGGAGGUUUGUAGCUGAAAAGGCGGUAGAAUGCCAUGACAUUCCAGCUGGACUCAGGGUGGGAGGGGAGUUGGGUUGGAACGAUGGCUCUUACUGAUUCUAUGUAAGCCUCUGUUUCCUCAUCCAGGUAAAAAUAAGGAUGAAAAUGCAUACACAAAAAUAGGGACAAAAAGAUAUACUAUGAAUAAUGAUAAAAGUAACAUAUUCUAUAUAUCAUGGGAAAAUGUCUUACAUUAUUACACAUGUCAAAUCUAUAACAAAUUGCUUGCUGUCUCAAGAGGGAGAAGGGAGGGGGAGACUUUGACUCAUCAGUUUUUUUUUUUAAAUGAAGGUUAAAAUCAUUAAAAAAAAUUUAAAUUUAAUGUAAUUGAGGAGGAAAUAUAUUAAAAGACAAAAUAAGUAAAAAUACAAUAAAAGCUAGAUUUAAAAAAUCUAGAUAAAAAAUUGCAAAGAAUAAGCAUAAUUCAAAAGAACAGAUAUGAGAAGAGACUCCUCAUCUCACUCCUUUGCAGAAGUGGAAGGUCCACAAGUAUUCUAUAUACAUUUUUUCAGUUAUGCUCAUUUUUACCCUCUUUUUUUGACUUAAAAAUAUUUGUUAUAAGAGAUGACUCUCUAGGAAGGAGAAGCAUUUUGAAGGAAAUUAUGAUGAUAUAAAAUAACAAAAUAUUAAAAUUAUUUUAAUUGUAAAAAAUAUAUCCCUACAUAUACAUAUAUUUACUAGACUUUUGAUUUCAUGGGUAUAGAGAAAUCUCUAUGAGUGAGUAACUUCCUCUACCAUAUAGACUGGAACUUCCUCUAAAAGUUGGAGAGGUAGAGAGGUACAUGGGGCCACUUGAUAGUUUAAGUGACUUGCCCAGAGUCACACAGCCAGUUUGUGAAUCAGAAGUAGGAUUGUAACCAAGCCUUCUGUCAAAAUCCUAAUAAUAUUUUUAAAAAGCUGUGCUUCCUUAAACACACACACACACAGGCCCCAUGUGUAGAGCAGAAACAGUGGGAGUAUAGUAGAAAAAAUUCUAGUUCUGGAUACUGAGGCCCUGGGUUUGAAUCCAGACACUUUCAUUUUCUCUGAAUUUGGGGGUGUUACCUCAAGAAAGAAAUCUGGAAUGUUUCUCCAGGGGCCAGAAUUUCCUUAUCUAUAUAAAAUCAUGAAGUUAGUACAGCUGGUCAUCUAGGACCUUUCUAGGUCUAAAUCCACAAUCUUUUCCCACUUGGCAGAAGUUUCAGGUCAGGUGGACAUUUGGGUCUGGAGAAUUCCAUUAAUGAAAUAUUGCUAGACAGGAAGGAUGCCCUAGACCAAAGAUGCUGGAUCUCUUCCCUUCUGGCUACUCCCUUCUUGUGCCUCUGUUUACCUCUCUUGGAACAAGAGUCACCCUGCCCACACCAAACCAUUUCUCUUGUAGGAAAAUGUCCUCUUUAUUCUUCACCAGCAUAAACAUGCUGCUCUCCUUCAAAAAUUUCCCUCCUCAUGGGAUCUCCAAGUCCCCAGUUAUUCAUACUCAGGGGGCUUUAUAGUGAUGUAUAUUCAUUUGUCUGUUGUCCUGUUAGAAUAACACUAAUUCUUCUUCUUCCCCUCCUCCUCCUCCUCCUCUCUCUGUCUCUUUCUGUAAGCUCUCAGAUUCUCUUAUAUUCUACCAUUAGAUAGGAAGCUCCCAUUGGGAGCAGGGAGCAGCUGGGGUUCAGACUUGAAGUCUAGUCAUCAGCUCUUUGUUGAGGUCAGGAUGUGGGCCACAUGUCCCCUAUGGUGUCAUUAUAGCCCUAUCAUUCCAAUGUCCUAAUGAAGAAAUGUAUCAGCUGCUGCCUCUACCCUGGGGCCCAUUCAAACUUCUUUCCUGAAACCCAAUCUAUGGAUCCACAUAUACCCGGUGGGCAAGGAGAUACAGACACAGCACUGGGGAAAGUCUUGUUUUCAGGGUCCUAGCAGGCUCAGUCAGGCCACCUUCCAUGGCUAAGCCAAGACACUUCCCCACUCCCCUCCCCACUUUGUCUUGGGCCACCACAUAGUCAUCUCCCAGCAUCCCUACUCGACCUCACUUGUGAGGAAAUGCAUUCCUCCAUGACAGUGUAUAUUUCCAGUUGUGAUGGAUGACUGGGGUAGAGGGAUGGGAAAUUCUACAACUUUAACCUUCAGGAGCAAAUGUUUCUUGAUAACUGAGUUAAUUCUAGAUUAUCUCUUCUGAAAGCAUAGUGGGCCAGAAGGAUCGGGGAAAAUGUACUAGAACUGGAGUUAGGAGGUUUGGAUUCAAAUCCCAGCUCUGAUACAAUACUAUGAGAAAGUUAAUCCCUCUUUUGGUAAUUCAACUUCCUAAGCUGUAAAAUGAAAAGAAAUAAUAUCUGUUACAAGAGGAGAAGGCAUAGGUGAGUUGGAAUUGGCACCACUGAAUCCAGGACCAAUAGUGAUGGAAGAUCACCAAUUAGUUAGCUCAGUGGUAAUAUUAAACCAUACCCUCAAGCAACUAGCUGAUACAGGGGACAGAGCACUCAGCCUGAAGUCAGGAAGACCAGAAUUCAAAUCCAGACUCAGACAAACUUACUAGCUGUGUGAUCAUGGGCAAGUCAUUUAACCCCAUUUGCCUCAGUUUCCUCAUCUACAAAAUGAGUUGGAGAGGAAAAUGACAAACCACUUCAGUAUCUUUGCCAAGAACAUCCCAAAUGGGGCCAAGAGUUGGACACAACUUUAAAAGGAUGCCUGUGGGCUGCAUAUUAACUUAGAGAACCACCUAUUAACCUUAUCUAUAUUUUGAUUGUAUUUCUACUUAUGUUGUUGAAUAUUUCCUAAUUAUAUUUUAAUCUGGUUCAAGCCACAAUCUGGAAUGAUGUUGGCCCCCAGCAGCACAUCUGACACCACCAAGCUAGUGACAAAAGUACAAUAAAUGCAUUACUUACCUUCCUGGAUUGUGGUAGGGAAAAGCACUGUGCUAACUUGAAAGAUCCAUAGAAUUAUGAGCUCAUUGGCAUAUAGUUUUAGAAAUGGAAGGGAUCUUACAGACCAUAUAAUCCAUUUCCCUCAUUUUCUAGAAGGGGAAACGAGUUCCAGAGAAAAGCAACUUGCUCAAGGCACAGGAGUGCAGAGCUUGAAUUCAGAUCUAGGACUUUCUAUUCCAAUCUAGUCUACUGAUCCCUACACCAUGAGCUAUUUCCCAUAGGACCCAGAACUGUGCUUUGAACCCCUGGAUUGUACUUAUCAUAAGUUAAGGAUUCUAGCCAUCUCUGUUCCCUUAUUGGAUGGUAAACUUGCAAGGAAAGGGCCUGUGUCUUACUUAUUUCAACUCUGCAUCAUCCCCAGAGACUAACACAGCACUCUGUAAUAGGUAAAUAUAAUAUGUAAAUACAAUAUAAUAAACCAUGAUAUAAUAAAAAUGGCAAAUAAA